rnacentral:lncRNA from 1 species
AGGAAAGAAACAGAAUAGCAGGGGAUGAAACAGAGAAGGGAGAAAGGAAGAAAAGAAAAAGGGAAAAAUAAGGUUUUAAAGGUUCCAAGUUAAUUUGGUAAGUCAAUUUAGCCUCUUUUCUUAUGAUUUUUGAGUUUUUGGAAUCCUAGAGAUAAAUACUACUUGUUUUAUGUAGAAAUUUUGAAAGUCAUUAGAUUUCUAAGUAUGGUUCAUAUUGAAUAAAAUGAUGGAAUUGGGGGUUUAUUUGAUAGAAAUUUUGAUUGGAAUUGAAUAAAGGAUUGAAUCGUAAACUAAGCUAUAAGUUUUGAGUUUUAGGGAUUAAAUGGAAAUAAAUUCGAAAUUAUGAAAAUAUGCUGGAAAUUUAAUAGUUAAGUAUGAGUUUGGACAAAAUUUGAAUAGAAAUGAAGUAUGAAUUGAGAUAGAAAAAGUAAGUGAAUCUAGUUAAGAUUAAAUUGAAAUUAAAGUAGAAAUUGAACAAAAAUUGUAUUAAUUAGAUAUAAAUUAGUAGUGAAUUAACGAAUAUGAAUUGUUUGAAUUCCCGUAGCUAAUGUUGUCUCGGGAAACCUCGGCUAAGCAAGGAAAAAAAUGGCAAAGACAAAGGGAGUUAGCUCGAGAAAAUACAGUUUGUAUUUCUAUAAUCCGAACCUAGUUAUUAAUUGUUAUAUUUUUUUUAUUCAAUGCAUUUAAUAAAUGUUGAAGUGAGAAUUAUUGUGUUUAUAAUGGAAAUGGAUUAAUUUGGUAUGUGAUGAAUUUAUAUUGAUUGAAUUAAAUUGAAUUAUAUAUUAUAAAUAUAUAUGUGUGUGUGUGUGUGUGUGUGAAUGAGAUAUUAUGCAAUUAUGAUAAUUGAAUUUUGGAUAAAUAUUAUGAUAAAUAAUUAAGAUGGGAAUUAUUUGUAUUGUGUCUUUAUAAUUGAAAUGAAUUGAUUUAGUGUGUGAUAAAUUUAUAUUAAAUUGAUUUAUGAAUAUCUGUUUUAUUGAAUUUUAUAUUGAUUGAAUUAUUUUAUUGAAUUAUAUUGAUUGAAUUAUAUAAAUAACUAUGAUUUAUGUAGAAAUUGAAUAUGAAUGAAUUUAUAUUGAAAAAUAUAUUGAUGGAAAUAUGAGGAAAUUUGAUAUGAAUAUAUGGAGAUUGUGAUUAUGUUAAUAUUUAUAUUGAAAAAUGAAUGAAUUGAAUUGAAUUAUGACUUCAUGUGACUACUUGAAAUAUAUUGUUGAAUGAAUGAAAUGUAUGAAUUGUGAAAAUGGUUAACUAUAUGUACUUAUCUGAAGGAGAUAUUGAUGAAAGCAGUAUUAAAUUGCGAAAUUGAUGAAAUACCCUAUUAAUAGUCGGGGCUUAAGUCAGAUAUAAUUGGCAUGCCAAGGAUUGAAAGUGUACGGGAUUUCCGGUUACAUUUAGGCCACUUUAUGUGUCAUAUUUCAGACGCCUCGUGUGUCGUAUCAGGCACCUCGUGUGUCGUAUCAGGCACUUUAUGUGUCGUAUACUGAUCAGGUACUAUGUACCGUUUUAGGCACAAUGUGCCGUACUGGUGUGUUUGGGUUGGAAUCCGUGUAUCCGUCAAAGUCUGAGUUUGUUAAUAAGACUAAAUAAGUGAAAAGAUAAAUCGACUGAAUUUGAUUGAUUGAACUAUUGGAAUGAAAUGAGAAAUUGAAUUGAGAAUUGAAAUUGAGAUAUGAGAUUGAAAAUAUGAACCAAAAGGUUCAUGAAAUGAGUGAAGUUCAAAUGGAUGAUGAUUGAUGUUAGAAUGAAUUAAAAUGGUAUAUUGUUAAGAAGUAAAGUGUGAAUACAAGUGAAUUGUGAAUAUAUUGAAAGAAUUUAUACAGUAAGCAAAUGAAAAGAAUUGAGCAAAUAUGUUGUUGUGUUUGUUAUAUAGCUUGUAUAGAAUUUUUAUGGUAAGUAAAUGAAACUUAUCUAUAAAAUAAAUAAAUGAAUGGUUAUAUUUAUCAUUGUGAUUUUAAGUUUAAUUGUUAUAUUAUCAAGUGUUCGGAUUAUAGAAAUACCACUGAAUAUACCAUACUCAACGUACAGUUUGUUUCCGUGCGCAGGUUUAGUAAAGAUAGAACGCUGAAUCAAAUCCCAAUCCGAUCCCGAAUUCAUUAAGGUAAAGUGUGUUAAUUAUUGGUAAUGGCAUGUACCAAGGAUGUCUUAUGCGUAUGUCAUUUUGAAAUUGUAAAUGUAAUGAUGAAAUAAAUAAAUUUAGAUUUGGCUAUGGUAUAAAAUAGGAUUUGACUAAUUUGGUAUGAAUUCGAAUUUUUGUGAGACAAUGUCAGAUUGAUUUUGGAAUUCCCUAUUCUGAAUUGGGAAAAUCAUUAAAAAUUGUAUAAAAAUAAUUACAGGCUAUAAUUUAUAUGCUUAGAAUAUUUAAUGAGUCUAUUUUCAAGAGAAAUAAACGGGAACAUCAUCCAAGUUCUGUGCUAUAAGAUAAUUAAAUUUUAGUAAAGAAAGGUCGAAACUGUCAAACAACAGAUCAGGGGUAACUUUGAGGAAUAAACUGUACUGAUUGGCUAAACCAAAAAUUUUGAAAUUUUAUGGUAGAAAGGUAUAUGAGUCUAGUUUUAAUAAAAAUUAACAGAACUUAAUUUGGAGUUUCGUAGCUCUAGAUAUAAAUAUUUUAGUGACUGUUACUCAAGAAGACAGUUUUGACAUAAGAAUGUAAAUGAAAUUGUGUGUAAUUAUUCUGUAAACUCCGGUAAUGCUCCAUAACUCUCUUCUGGGGUGGUUUGGGGUUAGGGGGUGUUAUAAUUGUUGGUAUCAGAGCUAUUCAUGUUUAGUCGAUUCUCGAAUAAAUCGAGCUCGGAAUUGAGUCUAGAGGUACAUGCCAUAAUUGAGUCGAAAUUGAGUCGGGAUCGGAUGCUGAUAUUUUUUUUUGGUACUAUUUUAUAGUGAAAAUGUUAGACGAAAAUAUCGAUGGUAUUGAUUAUGAAAUGUAUACUGGAGACUAAUAGUCUCGUGAAUUAGAUGAAAACUGAAUCAACAACACUGGGUAUAAACUCAAUGGGUAAUUAACUACUGAAUGAUGACUGAUGAAAUAAUAGAAAAAAAAUGAUACAUAAUUAUUUAGAAUUAUAACUGAUGUUCUUCAGUGAAUAGAAGAAAUUGUAUUUGUUAUGAUAUAUGCCCCUCCUGUUUCUCAAUCGGUUCCCGAAGUGCUUCAAGGUACAGAGUUUGUCUGAAUGGAUAACAUAUCUGUUGUUAAUAUUUUGUACAUAUAGUGUGGAAGAAUUGAAAAUUACAGCUGAACAUAUCUGUUGUUAAUAUUUUGUACAUAUAGUGUGGAAGAAUUGAAAAUUACAGCUGAAAAUGAUCUUGAAAGAAUUAAAAUUUGGCAAGAGAAUAUUAUCAAGGCUGUAAAUGAAUUGCUUGGUUCGUCGAAUAAAUGAUAGGAAGGUAUGAUAUUUCUACUAAAAGAUUCAAUCUACCAAAGGUGGAAAAUAUUGAUUUAUGCUGUAACUAUGAAAGGGUUAUUUGGAAUUUUCUAAAAUGAAUUCUGAAAGAAAUAUAUGUUAGUCAGAGAUUUCCUGAUUAGAAAUGCAAAGAAAUUUUUGAAGCUUAAACAGGGUCAUAUGAUUGUAACUAAGUAUGAAGGGAAUUUGUUUGAUUGAAUAAGUAUAUCAGAGGGUAUAUUCCAAUAGAAACCAUAAUGUACAAGUAGUUUGAAGAUGGUUUAAAUGAAAACAUAAAGUCGAAGAAUGUAGAAUAAAGAGUGAAAUAUGAGUUAGAUAUGAUUCUUCUGAUCAUUAUCUUAGUGAUUGAUUGAAGAGAGUUGAAAGAGAUAUUAUUUAAAUUUCAAGACAGAAUACAACAGUUAUUAGAGGUAGAUUACUCUGUAACCUAGAAAUGCGAGUGGUAGUCGAAGUGUGAUAGAGGAUUUCACUAUAAAAUCUGGAGAAUGAAUAUCAGCCAGGGCAUAUGUUAAUUGUAUAUAAGAAGAUGUUUCUCUACCGGGUGUCAUUACAGGUACCUUCUUCUUUUAUCGGCACUGAUAUGAUUAUUUUAAAUUGAUAUUGGUUUUAUUUAUUCGUAUGAUUGCAUGAAUUUAGCAUUUAUUAAAGAUUUUUCUGUUUAGUUCGACGAAUUAUUGGUUGAAGUAUCAAAUUUUUCGGAUCAGUAUUUAUUGAUUGAUAAAAUUACAAGAACUGUUUGAUAAUGAUAUUAGGGUACUGUUUCCUGAUUGAUUUGAUGUUAUUAUUAUUUGAUGUUAUUUCAAGAACGGAAUGGUUAAUUCUACAUGAUAUGGUGGUGAAUUGUAAGCAAAAGUGCAUUAUACUGCAAGGUUAGAACGAUGAAAAUUGAACUAAUUGUUUAUUGUGAUAUUGAACAUGUCAACACAGAAAUGUGCUAGAAAAGGGUUGUGGUAUUUACUUUGCUUAUGAAUUGGAUAUUAAAGUAUCUGAGUCAAAUUUUAAUUCAAUGGCAAUUUUGAUGUGUUUCCGGAAGAGUUACCCGAAUUACUGUUGGUUGAAGAAGCUAAAUUUAUUAUAGAUCUUGUGCCUGAAAUAAUAUUGAAAAAUGUAUCUGAAAUCAGAGAAUUUUUGAGAUUAGUCGGUUAUUAUCAGAAAGUUAAAAAAAGAUUUUUGAAAUAUAUGGUUACCAUAGAAAGAUAUGGCAUUGUAAUGAUCUGAUAAAUGUCAGUAAAGUUUUAAUCAGUUGAAAACUCAGUAAACUGAAGCACUAGUUCUGGUUUAGCCUAAAAUCCAGUAAAGAAACUUGUGAUUUACAGGGAUAGCAGUGUUUGACGCAAGAAAAUGAAUUAACGGUUUAUGUUUUGGAAAGUUAGAACUACAUGAGAAGAAUUAUUUGAUACAUGAUUCGAAAGUGAUAACUAUUGUCUUUGUAUUAAAGGAUCAUGAUUUUAUAAUUGAAUAUCAUCCAGGGAAAAAAAAAUCAAAUGGAGUUAUGAACACUCUAUUGUCAUUAUCUGAUGAUCGCUCAAUUCUAAUUGAAAUAAAGGUUAAACUUACUUCUCUACAGCAGGUCUGCAAAGUUCAGAAAUGUGACAAUGAAUUAAUGGUUAAAUGGGUAUAGUGAACAAAUGAUUUUGAUUGAAAAUUUCAGAUUGAAUUUGAUGAUUAUUUGCUGUUUAGAAAUAGAAGCUGUAUUGAAGAAUUCAGAGCUUAGACAGAAGAAUUUGUAUGAAAUUUAUAGCAAUACUAUGUCUAUGCAUUCUGGAAGAAAUAAAAUGUACAGUGAUUUGAGGAAGAUGUGUUGAAGACUGGGAAAGAAAAGUAGUACUUUGAAAUUGUAUAUAAAUGUUUAUAUCAGAUACAGAUAUCUUCAGAACUAUUACAGCUAGAAAGGAUAUCAGAAUGGAAGUGGGAUAUAAUUUCUAUGGGUUUGAAUUAGAAUUAUCUCGAUCUUUGAAAAAGAAAGACGGUAUUUGAAUAAUCGUCGAAGGUAUGGUAAAGUCUGCAAAUUCUAUUCAUGUAUGAAUAAAUUUCUUAAUAAUUGUCUGAAAUAUAGGUUUCUGAGAUUAUCAGAUUUCAUGGUAUGGUGGUUUCUAUUUUUUUUUAUUGAGAUACGUGGUUUAUACUCUGAUUAUAGAAUAAGUACAAAAAGUUUUGGGUACGUGAUAACAGUUUUCAGCAAUAUAUGAAGUUUUGAAUGAUUAUGAUGUAAAACUGCAUAAGAUCUGAUUAAAUACAGUGAGAAAAAGAAUAUGCGGAAUUUUUUAAUUCGUGAAAUUGAAGAAAAGUAGAAGUGAUUCGAGAUAGAUUGAAAGCAGUUUUGACAGACAGGAAUUAUAUGUGGACUUGAAACGUUAGGAUAUCGAGUAUUUUGUUAGUGAUAUGAUAUUUCUUAAAGAUUCAGUUUGAAAGAAAAUUUUGAAGAUCAGGUUGAAAAAGAAAUUGAGUUCUUAUUCUGUUGGGCCAUGUGAAGUUGUAGAAAAGUCGGAUCGGUAAAAUAUUGCUUGGUUUUGCUUUUGAAGUUACAGAAAGUUUAUGAUAAUUUUUCCAUGAUUUGAAGCUUAGAAAAUGAUAUAGAUUAGAUCUGUUACAUGUUAUAUCGACAAAGGAUAUUGAGAUUUGACGCAAUCUAUCGUAUGAGAAAGAGCCGGUUGAGAUACUAGCCUGAGCGGUAAUGUCAUAAUAUUGAGGAAACAAUACGGGAACUGAGAGAAACAGCGAAAUCUUUGUACUUGUACCCCCGCCUCUCUUAUGAAAAUUUCAAGGACGAAAUUUAUUAAAGGGGGGGAGAAAUGUAACGACCCGAACUUUAAGGUUAUUAGAAAAGUAUAUUUUCGGGUCACCAUUUCUGAAAAAUGGAUUAGAAAAUAUUUAUUAAAAAAAAGUAAAAAUAUUUAUGAAGUUAAGUGAGUGAUUAAUUAAAGUUUAAUUAAGUAAAUUUAGCUUAAUUAAGGAUAAUUGGAUAAAAGAUUAAAUUGAAUAUAAUGUGAAAGUUUAGUUUUAAAGUAAUAGAAAAUAAAAGGAUCAAAAUGGCAAUUAAGCCAUACCCAUGAAAUGAGACGGUGAAUGAAAGAAAAAUCAAGAUUUUUCUUGAAUUAUGUAUAUUAUUAAAUUAUUAAAUAUAUAUGUAUAUAUAUAUAUAAAAAAAGAAAAACAAGUGUAUAAAAAUGAUUGGUACAAGUGUUAAAUAAAUAUUUGUUAUUAAAUAGAUUUUUAUUAUAGUUAUUAUUGUCAUUAUAUAUAUAUAAAAGAAACAAAAGAAUAAAAAGAGGAAAGAAACAGAAUAGCAGGGGAUGAAACAGAGAAGGGAGAAAGGAAGAAAAGAAAAAGGGAAAAAUAAGGUUUUAAAGGUUCCAAGUUAAUUUGGUAAGUCAAUUUAGCCUCUUUUCUUAUGAUUUUUGAGUUUUUGGAAUCCUAGAGAUAAAUACUACUUGUUUUAUGUAGAAAUUUUGAAAGUCAUUAGAUUUCUAAGUAUGGUUCAUAUUGAAUAAAAUGAUGGAAUUGGGGGUUUAUUUGAUAGAAAUUUUGAUUGGAAUUGAAUAAAGGAUUGAAUCGUAAACUAAGCUAUAAGUUUUGAGUUUUAGGGAUUAAAUGGAAAUAAAUUCGAAAUUAUGAAAAUAUGCUGGAAAUUUAAUAGUUAAGUAUGAGUUUGGACAAAAUUUGAAUAGAAAUGAAGUAUGAAUUGAGAUAGAAAAAGUAAGUGAAUCUAGUUAAGAUUAAAUUGAAAUUAAAGUAGAAAUUGAACAAAAAUUGUAUUAAUUAGAUAUAAAUUAGUAGUGAAUUAACGAAUAUGAAUUGUUUGAAUUCCCGUAGCUAAUGUUGUCUCGGGAAACCUCGGCUAAGCAAGGAAAAAAAUGGCAAAGACAAAGGGAGUUAGCUCGAGAAAAUACAGUUUGUAUUUCUAUAAUCCGAACCUAGUUAUUAAUUGUUAUAUUUUUUUUAUUCAAUGCAUUUAAUAAAUGUUGAAGUGAGAAUUAUUGUGUUUAUAAUGGAAAUGGAUUAAUUUGGUAUGUGAUGAAUUUAUAUUGAUUGAAUUAAAUUGAAUUAUAUAUUAUAAAUAUAUAUGUGUGUGUGUGUGUGUGUGAAUGAGAUAUUAUGCAAUUAUGAUAAUUGAAUUUUGGAUAAAUAUUAUGAUAAAUAAUUAAGAUGGGAAUUAUUUGUAUUGUGUCUUUAUAAUUGAAAUGAAUUGAUUUAGUGUGUGAUAAAUUUAUAUUAAAUUGAUUUAUGAAUAUCUGUUUUAUUGAAUUUAUAUUGAUUGAAAUUAUUUUGAUUGAAUUUAUAUUGAUUGAAUUAUAUAAUAAAUAUGAUUUAUGUAGAAAUUUGAAUAUUGAAUGAAUGUUAUAUUGAAAAAUAUAUUGAUUGGAAAUAUGAGGAAAUUGAUAUGAAUAUAUGAGAUUGUGAUAUUUGAAUAUUUGAUAUUGAAAAAUGAAUUGAAUUGUAUUGAAUUAUGAAUUAAUGUGAAUAAUUGAAAUAUAUUGUUGAAUUGAAUGAAAUUGUAUGAAUUGUGAAAAUGGGUAAAUAUAUGUAAUUAUCUGAAUGAGAUAUUGAUGAAAGAAUUAUUAAAUUGAGAAAGUGAAUGAAAUACCCUAUUAACUAGUCGGGCUAAGUCAGAUAUAAUUGGCAUGCCAUAGGAUCUGAAAGUGUACGGGAUUUGCCGGCUUUACCAUUUAGGCACUUUAUGUGUCGUAUUUCAGGCGCCUCGUGUGUCGUAUCAGGCACUUUAUGUGUCAUAUACUGAUCAGGUACUAUGUACCGUUUUAGGCACAAUGUGCCGUACUGGUGUGUUUGGGUUGGAAUCCGUGUAUCAUUCAAAGUCUGGGUUUGUUAAUAAGGCUAAAUAAGUGAAAAGAUAAAUCGACUGAAUUUGAUUGAUUGAACUAUUGGAAUGAAAUGAGAAAUUGAAUUGAGAAUUGAAAUUGAGAUAUGAGAUUGAAAAUAUGAACCAAAAGGUUCAUGAAAUGAGUGAAGUUCAAAUGGAUGAUGAUUGAUGUUAGAAUGAAUUAAAAUGGUACAUUGUUAAGAAGUAAAGUGUGAAUACAAGUGAAUUGUGAAUAUAUUGAAAGAAUUUAUACAGUAAGCAAAUGAAAAGAAUUGAGCAAAUAUGUUGUUGUGUUUGUUAUAUGGCUUGUAUAGAAUUUUUAUGGUAAGUAAAUGAAACUUAUCUAUAAAAUAAAUAAAUGAAUGGUUAUAUUUAUCAUUGUGAUUUUAAGUUUAAUUGUUAUAUUAUCAAGUGUUCGGAUUAUAGAAAUACCACUGAAUAUACCAUACUUAACGUACGGUUUGUUUCCGUGCGCAGGUUUAGUAAAGAUAGAACGUUGAAUCAACAUCCCAAUCCGAUCCCGAAUUCAUUAAGGUAAAGUGUGUUAAUUAUUGGUAAUGGCAUGUACCUAGGAUGUCUUAUGUGUAUGUCAUUUUGAAAUUGUAAAUGUAAUGAUGAAAUAAAUAAAUUUAGAUUUGGCUAUGGUAUAAAAUAGGAUUUGACUAAUUUGGUAUGAAUUCGAAUUUUUGUGAGACAAUGUCAGAUUGAUUUUGGAAUUCCCUAUUCUAAAUUGGGAAAAUCAUUAAAAAUUGUAUAAAAAUAAUUACAGGCUAUAAUUUAUAUGCUUAGAAUAUUUAAUGAGUCUAUUUUCAAGAGAAAUAAACGGGAACAUCAUCCAAGUUCUGUGCUAUAAGAUAAUUAAAUUUUAGUAAAGAAAGGUCGAAACUGUCAAACAACAGAUCAGGGGUAACUUUGAGGAAUAAACUGUACUAAUUGGCUAAACCAAAAAUUUUGAAAAUUUUAUGGUAGAAAGGCAUAUGAGUCUAGUUUUAAGAAAAAUUAACUGAACUUAAUUUGGAGUUUCGUAGCUCUAGAUAUAAAUAUUUUAGUGACGCUUACUCAAGAAGACAGUUUUGACAUGAACAUAAGUAAAUGAAAUUGUGUGUAAUUAUUCUGUAAACUCCGGUAAUGCUCCAUAACUCUCUUCCGGGGCGGUUUGGGGUUAGGGGUGUUACAUCAAAGCUGGAAAUAUUCCAGAUCUCAAAACGUAGCAUUGAGGCGCGAAUCAAGUUGAUUCAUGUACAAAUUACAGAGAUAAAUUUAAAAAAAAAAAACAAAUGAAGCUCAAUCGAAUGACAGUGCGAAAGGGGAGGACCAAGCGCACAAUUAACCCUCUAAGACCAAAAGCGCGGAUCUCAUCCGAGCAUGGGUCGGGUCAUUAGGUUAUGACUCCCAGAUAGUGUCAUUUUUAAGCCAUUGAAAUUGGCUUACACGACGCUAUUUCAGAUCCUUUAUAAUGGCUAAACCCAACCAAGAAAACCGUUCGGUUGAACGAAACCCUAAUCCCUUUCUUUCUCUUUUGUCAAACCCUAAAUCCCUCACUCCAACUGCAGAUUCACCUCCACAAACAGCAACCAAUACAUUCAAGCUUGGAGGGAUGACUUUUUAGCCUUGAGAUCUCCUUUCGGCUUCAAUUUCAACGAAGCAAAAAGAGAUUUAUGGCAUAUUCGCAAGGUAAGACUCCUCUUUCUUUUUUCCUUUUAUUUUCAAACGCAAUGACGGAAGAUUUGAAGGCAAUAAAUCGCAAGGAAAUGCAAAAACUUAAAGAAAUUUAAACAGAAAUCACCUUCUAAAAAUUUUGACUGCUUUCUUUGUAUUCAAUAUGCGUUCGUCCUCUUUUACACUGAUUUUCUCGGCCUUUUAUAGCCGAUUUACAGGAUAAAUAGAAAAAGGAAAAAAAAAACUCUAAUUUUUUGCUGUCAUCUGCUGGUUUAUUUUCUGUUAUUGGGGCUGUUCUCGCAAGUUCUAUGGAGAAACGGCCGUACGAAAGAAGCCGCUCGUGGUGACAUGGAGGCCGUGAGUGGAAAAUCCCUCGUGAAAACCCGAUUCCCUGGCUGCAGUACUAGCGUGUUCUAGAAACCUCUAGGUUUUUGGUAUUCUCAAGUUGUUGGGCCUUUUUGGGCCAUUUUGGCAAUGGGCUACUGUGACUUGGACCAGGGAUUAAGUUGGGGGAUUUUGGGUGUAAUGGGACUUUGGGUUAAGGUCUAGGUCAAUAGAUUUUGGGUUUCAAUUUUGAGUCUCGGGGUUGAAUGUAAAAUUUGAUAUUUAAUUGGGCCAAAACUGUGCUUGUUGUAAUUGAUGGACUUUGGACCCUUUAUUUUUAUUUUGGUUUAUGGUUUUAUUUUUUAUUUUUUUUUGUUUUGGUUUUGGUGUGGGCUCGGGUGAAAUGGGCCUAUUACAAUAAUUUUUAAAAAAUUAAAAGAUAGUAUAUAAUAUAAUUAACUCAAUCAAAUUUAGCUUAAAAUUGAAAGAAACAAAUUACUUACCUUCAUCUCAUUGACUUAUCAUCUAUUUGCCAAUAAAAAAAAUAUAAAGUUUAAAUACUUUUAACGUAUUUAAUUGAAUCCUACUAAUGGAAGUAUGAGAGCUGACCUUAUAUUUGUUAUCAAUGAAGAACCAAUAGUGCAGCUUAGGUGAAAUUGGUUCUAAAAUGAAUUAUCACCUACUAAUGAUUAAAUCUUGGAUAUGUUUUGUUCUCGAAUUUGGGAGAUUUUGUAGGGUUAAUUUGCAGUCUAUGUUCUAAUUUGAAUUUUUUUUCUAAUGAUGGAUGCUGUGUUUUUAAAAUCUUAUUUGCAUUCCUUAAUAUUGAUUCUGAAUUAAAUGCUUUUUAACUAUUUAUAUAGGAAAGCUGAAAGAGGAGCAUUUAAUAGAUGGUUGAGAUGAAGGUCCCGCAUGCAUACUUGCAAGAAAGUAUUGUGAUUCAUGAUCCUCAGAAGUAACAUUGCAGUGUGGUCAAGAAUCACAAAAAUGCAUUUAGGAGUUUCUUGGUAGAUGAUCACAAGAGUGCACUUGGCCAUUUUGGAUCUUUUUAUUUCUUAAUAAAUAUGUUUAGAAAAGAUAGUUUCGUUAUCUCAUUUCUAUAUUUACUUAAUACUCUGCAAUUUUUUCUAUCAUAAUCUAAAUUUAUUGAAAAGAAAUUUUUACUUCUAAGAUUCUGUUCAAGUCAUUUGCUUACACCUAAUGAUAUGUGUACGGGCCCGAUAUAAAUAAACCAAAAUAAUAAGUCCAAAUUUAAAAAGUCCAUUUACAAAAAAUAUCAGAUUUAAAGCCCAAAACCUAAACCCAUCUAAGCCCAAACCCUGAUGGCCCAAUUGGCCCAAUGUUUAAAUCAAAUUUAACCAAAGCCUAACCCUAGCUUUCUCUCGAGCGCCGCACCCCACGUGCCUCCGUCAGCGCACACAACGCCCCAGGCUCGGCUUCCCUCGUCACUUUGCACCGAAAGGGAAACCUUUGCCCGUUAACCUUCCACAGCCCUGCAAAACAACCUAAAAACGAGCAAGGACAGCCAAAAUACAGCAACAAAAGCAAGGGCAAUAGCGAAAAAUGGGGGGGAUUCGGCUAUAUAGCCAAAGAACAGAAAUGUAAAAGGGGGUUCAUUUUUUUAAAAAAAAUUGUAUUACACAUAUUUUCAGAGAAAUCGAAAGCAGAAAAGAAAUCUAAGAGGUGUUUGUUCUUAUUUUUUUAUCUUUUUAUUUUUGAUUUUUCCAUUUGUUUUUAUUUUAGUUAUUUUGCAAAUCUUUUUCUUUAUAAAAAAGAGGCUUGAAAUAAAUAAAAAAGGAGGGGAACAGGAACUUACCGAAUCGCGUCGCCGGAACUCCUCCCUCCAUCAUCGGGUUCGAACUCCAAAGGGAGAGGGGGAAGCCUCCCGAUCUCGAUCGCCCAGGCCUUGAAGGCUUGGCCUUCAAACGUGGCUUGAUCAAGGGCUGAAAAGCCCGUUCGAUGCUGCCAAAACCACCGUCCAUGGUGGAGGAAUGAAGGACCACCUGCGAUGAUGGGUUUAAAAAAAGAAACCUGGCACAGAAAAGAAAUUGAGGGAAAGGGGCUGCUGUCUGCUUCUGAAAAAAAAGAGAAAAUGAAGGUUUUUUUUUUAAAUAGGCUUAAGUAACCCUGGAAACGACGUCGUUUUUGGGUGGGGGUCCAGGUGCCAAAACGACACCGUUUUGAACCCGCCCAUGCGCGACCCGACCCGCCUUCUAUGGGAUCCGCGUGUUUUACCUUUCAAUGGGGAAUUUUCGCGUAAAGUCCCUCCGCAUUUGCUGCUCUUCCAAAUCCAAUUUCCUUUUAUUCUAAUUUGUGCCUCAUAAUUUAUUUCAAUAUUAAUUUAGUCCAUGUUUAAGCACUGUGUUUUUUUUAGUUUGGGGUAAUUUCGUUAUUAGUCCCCGUGAGUUUACUCGCGUUAUAUUUCAUUCCUAAGUUAAGCUCCAACGACUUAUUUAUUUACGGAUUAUCUUCUUGAUUUUAUCUUUAUCUCAAUUGAGUCCUUUUCCUUUUAACUUCAUUUUUGUAAAAUUGUCUCAUUAUUUAUUUUAGGUUAUUAUUCACUUUUAUAUUAUUCAUUAUUUUAAUUUAUUUUUAUCGUUUAUUUUCUAUCUAUUUUCGUUUGUAUAUUUUUAAAAUACUUUAUUUAUAUAAUUUACUCAUUUGUUUUAUUUCUCUUUUAUGUAUAUUCUUUAUUUAAAGUUUUAUAUGUGUCAAGGUUAUUUUAAAUAUUUUUAUACAUCGUUAUUAUAUAUAUGUAUUAUUCAUUUACAUUCUUGCAGUCCUUUAUUUAUCAUCCUUCCAAUCUUUAAUAAUCUUUUACUAAUUAUUUAGUUUAUUCAUGCCUUUAUUUUUAUCUAUUAUUAUUAAUUUAUUCAUCUACUUGAUUAAUUAUCAUCUCUUUUAUGUCUUUAAGAUUAGACACCUUUUUUACUUAUAUAUAUAUAUAUAUAUAUAUAUAUAUAUAUUAUUCCUACUAUUAUGAAUUAUUAUUAUUACUAUCACAUUCAUUUAUACAUGCUUUACUAUAAAUCGGGCCAUCAAUUUUGUUUAUGUUUUAGCGCCAAUAUUUUUACAAGCCCUUUUUUCUUAUAUUCAUAUUUGCCUAUUAUUUGUUAAUGUUGCCAUUGCUAUUAUUCAUUCAUUUGGUAUGUUUCAUUGUUAGAAUUUGUUCCUUAAAAUUGCUAUUAUUGUAGUGCAUUAGUACUAUUAUAACAUUCAUUUACUAUAGUCGCUUCAUGUUAUUCCAUUAUUAUUACCCCAUAUAUUAUGUUCAAAUAUAGUCAGUCGUCUUUAUAUCAUAUUUCAAAUCAGCUCAUAUUAUUCUAAACUUAUAUUUGAUAAUUACUUCAAAAAAGAGAAACUUUCAAAAUAUGGCAAUAUUUCUUUCUUUUGGAAAUUCGAGAAAACGUACCCUAACUUAUUGGGUUUCGAUUUUUCUCGUUUAACCUAAAUAACUUAAUAUCCCUUCAAAUUUCAAAAAUAUGAAUUCUAAAUAAAAUAAGACAAUAUUUCGUAUUUUGGGAAGUUCGAGAAAUCGUGCCUUAACUUAUUGGGUUUCGAUUUUUUUCUCGUUUAACCCAAAAUGAUCGAACAACCUUUCAAAAUUAAAAUGCAUGAAUUUCGAAAAUCAAAAGACAAGCUUAUUCUCGAGGUUUUAAAAUGUCGUGUCCUAAUGUACUGGAUGUAGUAUUUUGUUACUUCGAGACAAGGUCUUUAACAUCCGCUUCGAUUUAUUCAAAUAUUUUUGUAAAACAAACAUUCAUAAAAAGGGAUCAUACUUCAAACUUUAUUUUAAAUCUUUUUAAUUUUCGGCAUUAAGACAUUAAUUAAUUGAUUAGGUACCAAUUUUUGCGUUACGAGGGUGUUAAUCCUUCCUCGUACGUAACCGACUCCCGAUCCCGUUUUCUCAAAAUUCGUAGACCAAAAUUGUUGUUUUAGUAAAAUGUUUUAUUAAAAUGACCAAACUUCUCGAUGAUCCGAUCACACCUAAAUAAAAAAGAUUGGUGACGACUCCUAAUUUUCAUUUCCAUUUUCAAAACCAAAGUUGAUCCCCGUUUUUUUUUUUUUAAAUGGUUUCGACAAUAUGCACUCCGCUUUUCAAUCAUUUCGAGAUGCAGCCAUAGCAUCUACCCUCUUCCUCCCCGAGUUCCAGUGAUUCUUUAUCAAAUUAAAUAAAAUUUAAAUUCAGAUCAAUGAAGUCGGGCUUUCAAAAUCGUAUCAAAAUGGAGAACUCUACUUUCAUCUGUUAAGCAAUUUUCACCCUGUUUAAAGUAAAAACCUUCAAAAAGAAAUUUUACCAAUAAAUGAUGUGCAUAAAUAAUUCGACAAUGUAAUUGGACUGCAUUGAAUUGCAAAGAAUGUUUCAAUCAAUUAUCUUUUUUGGACCCUACUCUCCCUAUAAGAGUGAACAAACCAAGUUCUUUACAUUGCUCUUCAUCAGGAUACAAGCUCCCAGGAGCUGCACCAAAUGCUCUUCUAGUUGUUUCAAAUCCUAAAGCCACGUAAUGGAGAUAUGCUGACGUUGCCUCCAUGUUCUUCUGCAGGUUUAAAGAUAUCGAUGCGAAUUUCGUUGACUGAUUUUUAUCCAAUUCUUUUGCAACGACCUGGUUGAGUUCUUAAACUCCUAAAAACCGCUCUGUUGUUGCCUCCCAUGACAACUCGUACCUCUGUGCAUCGGUCAAUGGAGCAGGCUCUGCAUUACGUGUGGCUUCAACGAAACCGUUGCCAUCAUCAUAAGUUCGGCAAUUCGAGAACUGCUAGAAGAAAUCAUUCGAGGGGUGAUUGGCACAAAUAACGAUUUUUCCCAUAGCCAAUGCUUCGGCUGUGAUUGUGCAAACAACAUCUGUGAUGCUAGGAUUCAAGAAUAUUUCGUAACUGAAGGGGAAAGCCAGAAAAGAAAAAAAUCAAAAUUAAUUGAUCCCGAUCCAGAUAUGAAGAGAGAGUGGGGGACAAAGUGAGGCUUACUCAUGGAAUAAAGGAUCAGCAUGAUCACAACCAGGAACUAUUUCAGCUUGUUAGCAGCUUCCUUAACUUGAUCGGAGUCUUCUCCAUUGCCAUACAGAUCAAUCUCGAGACCAGCUAACUCCUUUUGGUGAUCACGAAUAAGUAGUUCCCCGUAGCCUUUGCUCCAAACCAUCUUCCCAAUGUAGUAAGCCCCUUUGGUGAAGGCUUUGUUACGGCUCUGUUGUUGCUCGAAAAUUUUUUUGCCUACCUCGAGAAAUUUGGGAUUAACUCCAUGAACAUUGCAGAUGAUGGAUCUGGGAUAAUCCUGAGUGGCAGCAGACAACCUAAUUACCUGCAAUAACAACAUGAUUACAAUCAGAUGAAAUUAAUUAUAUUAUAAUAUAAUAUCAAAACUUGGAGAGGCGAGGAAUUCGAUUUUCUUCUCUCCUAGUGCUCCUUUCUUCUCUAUCAGCAGCAUCAACAGCUAGACUAUGCUAGUAAAAUCAGAGACACAUAUCAUUCUAGUGGACCAACAAGGUGGCACUGAUUCCUGUUAGGUCGGAACAAUAUAUCACCCGAGGCAAAGUUACAAUCUUUGUCUUCCUUAAAUAAUCUAGCCUAACAAGUUAAUAAAGUAUCCAACAGUGCAAAUUUUGUAUAGUCCUAUAAAUAUCAAGCAAAAGUCGCUUUAACUUGUUGGCAAGCACAGAAAAAUCAAAGCUUAUUAGGAAGCUUACCUUAUGGCAAUAGAUGCUAACAACCCAACUAUUUAAAUAUUUCAGAAGAAAUGCUAGCAAUCGUCCAUUUUUCUCCCUCUUUACGUACUCCAAAUAAUUGGUAUGAAUUAUUCCUAUGACGAGGCGAAAUUUCGUUUUCCAUCUCUUCCCAUGAUGAAACCACGUAAGAUGCUCGGGCUCCUCGAGGACAGCAGUAUCUGCCUCUUCAUCAGGGAUGAUUUCCGAUAUGUCUCCUACAGGAAUUAUGCUUUUUUUAACUACAGCAAAGUGCAUCACAAUUAGUACUAUAAAUUAUCAUCAGAUUGUCACCAUGGUAAUUAAAUGAUGGUUCUGAUGUUUAAAUUAUCUAUGUUCAUUUAAUUUUAGGAAUUUGUUAAAGGUGUGCGAUUACCUUUCCAGGAUAAAAGCAUAUACCGAAAUCAGGUAUAAAUGCAAUCCUCCGUUCAAGCCAUUGACGAAAUAAGACUCUUGCUCCCAAGGUGAACCGAACAUAGCAUUGUCCGACUAUACUAGUUUUUGAUCUUUCAAAGACAACCAAGGAAUCACCAAUGUGAUCUUUCUGUCUCCACCUUUGGCUAUAUAAGAUGGUAGAGAUAAAUUAUCUAUACGUUUUCAUGAGGCCUGAGGGGACUUUCACAGUAAUUGUUGGUUGAGUCAUGGAAGAUCAUUUGUGUGUGCCCUUGGAUGUAAUUGAAAAAUGUAUUAAACUGCUAAAAGAGCUCAUCUAGAUUUUUAUUUGACUAACGAAAACCCAUGUGUUUGUACAUUUAAAGCCCCAUUGUCUUAAGAAGGAUCUGAGAGUCGCUCCUAAAUGUGAGUAGAGAAUUAACUCUCAUACAAAACGACAAGCAGCUCGAUGCAGCUGCUUCCAUUUUUUUUAUUAUUAUCUGCAAACAAUGUCCUAAAAGAGUGCAACAAGGUGCCCAAUUAACUCUCUUUCUGUAACUCUCAAUGUAUCCUCAUCCAUUAAUUUAUUUAGCAAAUUAUACAUUAAAAAAUUGUAAAAUAUUUCAUGGGUACUUAUCUAUAAACCAUAAGAACUUGACCAAAGUUUAAUCAUUUUUCCAUUGUUAUCUUCACCCCAAAGUUUUCAGAUCCAUUUCCAGCUUCUGUACCAAUGUCAGAUCAGCCAACAAAGAGGUAUAUAUAUGUUUACGCUCAAGGUUGCUAAAUUCAUUUAGUUUUAAAAAGUUAUAAGAUAGUUACUGAAUUAUUUAAAAGUUUUCAUUUAAAUUAUUGAGCUGUUAAAAUCGUUACUGUAUGGCUUUUCCAUUUGCACCGUAUGCACCAGUUAAAAUCUCUCUUUUCCUUAUUUUUUAUAUUUUUUUUAUGAAAUAAUUUUAAAUAUCACGAAUUUACUAAAUAAAGUCUAAACAGUUUUCUUCUACGAUCUCAAGCAUUGACCGCUAGAUCUACUUUAGAUUUAAUGAAAUUUUUUUUACAUCUUGAUGAGCAUUGAUCCAUCGUACCGAUCAUGAAAUCAUCAUUUAGAAUUUAAUACCUAGUUUUUUUUUUUGUAAAAAUAACUAGACUGCCCAAUAAUUUAAACAAAAAAAAUUUAACUUACUAAAAAUCAAUUUACCCAUAUAUUUAUAUGUAUUUAUUUUGCAAUUAAGCAUAAAUAAGCUAAGCUCCAUUGUUGUUCCUUAAAUAGGUAUGCAGUGGUUACGGGUUCAAACAGGGGCAUUGGAUUUGAAAUAUGCAAGCAGUUGGCUACAAAGGGUAUGACGGUGGUGUUGACGGCUAGAGACGAGACGAAUGGUGUUGAAGCCGUCGGAAAAUUGAAACAGUUUGGGUUCUCUGAAACUGUGGUGUUUCAUCGACUGGACGUGACGGAGCCAGCGAGUGUUUCGAGUUUGGCCGAAUUUGUAAAGACUCAAUUUGGAAGGCUUGAUAUCUUGGUAAAAUCAUUUGGCUUUUCUACCUUCUUGGAUUGUCUUUUUUCUAUAUCUAAUUAUUGAGUUCCAAACAUUGUUCAAACACUGAUUUGUUUAACCUGAAUUUGAAUCCGAUCCAAUAAGUGACCUGAGGGACUUAUAUAAAACUUUUAAAAGAUUUAGGAGUUUUAAGAAUUUCCAAAAAAAAAUUAGGGUUUUGAUUAAAAUUUUUAAAACUUUUGAGAAGAUUAAUGAAAUUUUUCAAAAAAAAAAAUUGAAUAGUCUAAUUAAAAUUAACAAAAAUUGUAAAAAGCAUAAUGAAAAUUUUCCAAAAUUUUGAGAGACACAAUGCCUCUAGUUUUAAGGACGUACCACCCAGUAUUCUAUUCUAUUCACUAUAAAAAGUCAACAAUUUAAAUUAAACUCAAAAACAACUUAAAUUUGAAAUUAUUUAAACUUAAAAUGGUCUAACUUGAAAAGUCUGAUUGACAAACUUGAAUGACUUAAACUCGAAAUAACUUGAACCUAAAAUGAUUCCAACAAAAAACAAACUUAAACUUGAAAUGACCUCAAUCUGAACUUAAAAUGAGACAAACCCCAAAAUUAAGCUACUUUGAAAAAACUUUAUCGGUAAACUCGAAUGACCUUAAGCUGAACUUAAAUUUUACAUGAAUUCGAGAUGAUCCAAACUUAAAAAGAGUAAAAAAAUUUAAAACCCGAUUAGAUUCAAAUCAACUUGGACAGCUGAAGUGAGAGGUCUAGGUUGUUAUAAUUAUUUGAUUGAAAUUGUAUGUAGGUGAAUAAUGCUGGAAUUGGUGGAGUAACAGCAGAUGAAGAUGCUUUAAGAGCUGGUGUUCUUGGCAAGGUAAUCUGGAUUUCAUGGCUUAACUUGUUAUUUCAUUUGGAGAAAACCAGGGAUUAGGGUUGGAAAUGAAAUUGAAUUAGUUGUGGCUUAAUUUCAGCCUGCUGCUACAGUCAACUGGAGUGGAAUAUUGAUGGAAACAAAUGAGUUAAGUGAGGAAUGCCUCAAAACAAACUAUUAUGGUGUCAAAACAGUGUGUGAAACACUCCUCCCACUUCUCCACUUAUCUGAUUCACCAAGAAUUAUAAAUAUUUCUUCUUCAAUGGGACAAUUAAAGGUAAAUGAGGUCAACCCCGGUAAAAGUUUAGUUUGUGGCAGAUUGCAUUUCAGUUUCUCUAUUAAAAAAAUAAACAAGUUAACUUUUAUACAUUUCGAAACAUGCAAAUUAUCAAUUAAAUGAUAGUGGAGAAUAUUAAUUUAAAUAGUUAAUUGUUAAUUUGGUUCGUGAACUAUAACUAAAAUAUUGUUUUGAUUUUUUAUUUUUUUCUUAAUAAUAAUCCUAAAAACUUAAAUUAUUUUUAAAAAUAUGGUUAGUGUCUCAUUGUAUUAGAUAAUUAUCAUCAAAUCGAGAAUUUUAAAAAUGAAAAUAUUUCUCCGUUAUUGAAUGAGAGUUCAAUUUUUCAAAAAAUAAAAACAUACCAAAAAAGAGCUCCUUUGAAUGUAAGUUUUGGUUUUAAUAAAUCUGAGUUUGAUUUUGUUUUAACAUAAGUUUUAAUAAUUUAUAUUUAUUUUUGAGAUUUUUUUAAAAAAAUUAGAAUUAUUGUUAAGAAUUUUUUUAAAAAAUUUAAAACGACGUUUUAGCUAUAGUUUAGGGUCAAAUUAGUAAUUAACCAUUUAAAUUAACGUUCUACAUCAUCAUGUAAUAGAUAAAUUUUAAUAGAGGGACUAAUUUGCAUAUUUUAAAAUGUAUAAGGACUAAUUUAUCUAUUUUUCAGUAGAGGGGCCUUAAGUUCAAGGACUUCUCUAGUACUUUUACUGUCAACCUCGUCUCUUUUUUAAUUAAAAUAUUUUUUGAGUCAAUUUUACUAUUCUUAAAUGGUUGAUUGACCUUCCUAACAAUGACAUCUCCAAUAUUCAAACUUGAAUUUUUUUUUUUUUUUACAUAUUAGAAUAUACUUAUGGUGACACCAUAAUUAUACUAUAGGUUUGAUUAGCUUGUUUUAAUUGAGAAAACCAAACAUAUAGUGUUUUCAUUACCUUUUCAUAUGGGAGAAUUUGUUUAUUUUGAUUCAGGUUAUUUUAAGUCAAAUCAAUUUAGAUUAUUUUCGGUUCAAGUCAUUUGGGUCAUCUUAAGUUUUAGUUAUUUUGGAUUACUUGUUUGAGCAUUUUGAGUUUAGGUCAUUUUAGGAUUUAAGGUCUUUAAGUUUGAGUAAUUUUUGAGGUUUAGUUUUCUUUGCUAACCUUAAUUAGCUUUUUAGGUCGAUUCAAUUUAGUUUUUAAAAUUCUUAAGUAAUUUCAAGUUUAAAUUAUUUUAGAUUUAAGUCAUUUAAGUUUGUCAAUUCGAUUUUCAAGUUAGGCUGUUGAUUUUUUAUACUUAAAUCAAAUUUAACUAUAUUCAAAAUUGAAUUAAUUGGAUUGAAUUUUCAGAACAUAUCAAAUGAAUGGGCAAAAGCAGUACUAGGAGAUGCUGAAAACCUCACAGAAGACAAAGUGGAUCAAGUACUGAGAAUAUUUAUGAAUGAUUUCAAGGAAGGUUCAUUAGAAGCCAAAGGUUGGCCUACACUUUUGGCAACAUAUUCCAUCUCAAAAGCAGCCAUGAAUGGCUAUGCAAGGGUAUUGGCUAAAAAACACCCAAGUUUCCAAAUCAAUUGUGUUUGCCCUGGCUCUGUCAAAACUGACAUCAACUACAAUACUGGCCUAUUACCUGUUGAAGAAGGAGCUGAGAGUGCUGUGAGGUUGGUUUCGUUGCCCAAUAAUGGCCAUUCUGGCCACUUCUUUGUUAGGAUGGAACAAUCAGAAUUUUGAUCAUAUAAUUAUUUCAAAAUUCGUAGCUAUCCUUAUUAAUAAAUUUACCUCAAAUAUUCGAACUUAAUAAUUCUCUCUAAAAGAAUAAUGUAACUUAUCACUGCACUCAACACUUAGUUGAUUUGCUUAUGAACAUUUAUGAGACUAUAACUCUAAUAAAAGACAAUGGCAAUUCAUUUUUAUUUCACUUUGGGGGUAUAAAUGAGUAAUUGAGAAUAAGAUAAAAAUGCUAAGGACCUAUUAGCAAAGGUUUGAGGUUUUGGGUUCUUGAAUAUUCAAAUUUAAGUUUCAUUAUGUAUGAGUUUUAGUUUGAAUUAUUAUAAUUUUUAUUCGGGUUAAUUCAUUUUUUAGUCUAUUUGCGCUUUAUAUUAAUUUGAUGAUUUUGUAGUUGCUCAAACAUGUAUCUACAAUUGUACUAUAAUUGUAGUCUACUUGUAUUUGCAAUGAGAAUAAAAUAAAAAGGUUAUCGGUACUAAAAUUUGAAUACCAUAUUAAAUUGAUAUAGUAUGAACCAAUUAAAUCAAAUCUUAAAUUUUUCAUCCAAAAUUUAUAAAUCAAAGAGCAGCAUUGAUAUAUUAUGGACUAGACGAUGACACAUCACUAAAAAUAAAUUAAAUGAAUUUAGUUUUAAAAUUUCAUAAUGAUGUGUCAUUAUUUAAUUAUUAUUAUUAUUAUUUUUUUUUUAAUAAUUGGGACAAGAGAAUAGGAUACGACAUAAUACUUUUCUCACUAACUUAUGUUACGUAGAUAUAGGAUUCAGGGUUCCAACCUUUUCUAUCCCUUUGAAUGUGUAUGUUGUAGGAAAUUGCCAAAUGGUCCCAACCUUAUUAGAUAAAGGUGAGUUCCACAAUAAGUGACGGUGAGAAAUUUCCUUGAAAAUGAAAAUAAAAAUGUUCAACUUCCCAAGUCUUACUUUUAUUCACCUCAAUCCCAUUAAAAGCUAAAUUUGGUUGCUUCAUUCACAUUUCUUCCACAGAAAAUUGGUUUUUUUUAUUUAUUGGAAAUAUGCUUUUACUAUUUUGUUUGUUGUCUUUUAAUAGUUGGAGAGUUAUAAGUAAUUUAAGAAUUGUAUAAAAAAAUAGGGUAAAUUGUACAAAUGGUCAUUCAACUAUGUCUGUGUUUUUGUUUUGGUCACCUUACUUUAAAAGUUUUCAAUUUAGGUACUAACGUUUGAAUUUAUUCCUAUUUUGGUCACACGUCGUUAAAUUGAUUAUGGAAAGUCUUUUUCUAACUGACAUAAUACUACAUUUAGUCUUCAAUACUUACUUAUUUUAUCAAUUUGAUCCUAAUUCCUAACAAUUUAAUAAAUUUAACCCUUUACAUUUACAAAUUUUAUCAAUUUGAUCCUCAAACUUCCUAAUCAAAGCUUUCAGCUUUUAAAACAAAAGCAUUCCACAUCUAUAAAUUUGUAAAACCCAAAAAAGAAAAAAAAAACUUCUUUCAACUAACAAGCCCUUUUUCAAAAUAAUUCCUCAUACCAAUGAGUUUAUCUUGAAACUUUUUUUCUUUUUUUUUCAUUAAUUUCUUCUAAAUAUAAUAUUUUAUAACCCUUUAAUUGAUAAAAUUUUAGCUAAUGAAAAUGGAAAAACCUUAAAAAAAACAUUUUAGAUUUACUCUUGUUGUUAACAAUAGAAUGUUUCCUUCAAGGUACAUAGGAAUAGUCCUGAAGUUGGUCCUUGAAAUCGGAAAUUAAAUCAAGAAUUAAAAAAAUAUGGUUUUAGAAAAUCCAAUUGUUUAAUAAAUAAUUAUAUAAUAAAAAUUAUUAACAUUUAAUUUUUCAUAAGAACAAGAUGUGAAAGAAUUAAUUGAAUUUCCUUUUGUAAUAUUGAUAAUUAUUUUUUUAAUUUUAUAAACUGAUUAAGAGACUAUUAUGUGUUCUAUUAAUUUUUAAUUUUUUUUAAAAUUUUUAAAUCCAUAAUAAGCAAUACAUAUCACUAGUAAUUUGAUUUAGUGUCAAAUCAUUUACUAAAUUAAUUAAAAACUAAAAUUAUGCUAGUCAAAGUGAAAGAUUGUUUUUUUAUGAAUAUUAAAUUAUUUAUAUUAUAUUUUUUAAAAUUUAUUUUUUAAUUAUUUUUAAUGGUGUUUAGUUAAUUUCUAACAUUAACUUCUUAAAAAUAUAAACAAAAAGGGUUAUGCAUCAAAUUGGAUAAUUUCAACUAUAAAUAAAACUAUUAAUAGAUGUGGAAUGUCUCUGUUUUAAAAGCUUUUGUUAGGAAGUUUGAAAAUCAAAUUUAUAGAAUUUUGUAAAUGUGAAAGGUUAAGUUUAUUGAAUUAUUUAGAAUUAGGAUCACAUUGAUAGAAUAAGUAAGUAUUGAGGACUAAAUGUGUUAUUAUACCAGUUAGAAAAGGCCUUUCCAUUAUCAAUUUAACGGUGAGUGACCAAAACAGGAACGAAUUCAAACGUUAGUUCCCAAAUUAAAAAAUUUUAAAGUUAGGUGACCAAACUAGAAAUGUGGGCAUAAUUGGGUGACCAUUUGUAUAGUUUACCCUAAAAAUAAAUAUCAAUUCACAAAUGUAUUAAAAUUUAGGUUAAACAUGCUACUAGUUUUUAUACAAGUGUAAUUGUAGAUUUAGUCCAUGUAAUUUAAGUUGGUCAUUUUUAGUCUUGUAUUUUUUUAAUUUCUAAAUUUUAGUCCUGAUAAAUGAUAGUUGUUAAAUUCUGUUGUUUCCAAAAUUUAAUGCGGCAAACAUAUCAUCAUAUGUAUAAUAUCUCACAAAAAACCCAGAUAAUAGAUUUAAAGGUUGUUAGUUAUGUCAAGACUAAAAUUUUAAAUUUUGAAAAGUAUAGAGAUGAGUAAGAAUGAUCCAAUUAAAAGUACAAUGACUAAAUCUACAUGUGUUAUCGGUUGGGUCGAAACUAAAAUUUAAUCAAACAUAUGUAACUACUAUCGUUUUAGAUUAGGAUCAAAAUUUCAAAAUUCAAAAAGUACAAUAAAUUAGAAAAAGCAUAGGUACUAAAUUUAGCAAAAUUAUAAAAAAAAUACUAAAUCCACAAUUUACAUAGUGUAUAGGGACUAAUAAAACAUUUGACCUAAAAUUUAUAUAAAUCUCCUCACUCUCCGCCAAUCUCUCUCCUUUGUGACUUUUAUGGAUAUUUAAUUAAUUAAUUUUGGACAUCUUUGCUAAUCAAUUUAUGAAUAACCAAUAAAAAUCCAGGUUAUAGAUAGUCAAUAAAAAAUUUUCCUUCGAUUUUUCUCACCCAUAAUUUAAAAAAUUUCAAUUAAAUCCUCAAAGUAAAAUUUUUUAUAUCAAUUGAGUACUUCUAUCAGCUUAACUAUCAGUUUAGCCAUUAAAUACUAAUUUGAAUUUGACUUAAAACAUAUUUAGAACACUAUAUUAAAUUAUAAACACCAGUGUACCUAUUAUAUUAAUAGUUUAGAUCAACAUGUCAUAAAGAAAAUAGAAAUUUAUAGAGUUUUUUUUUUUUCUGACAUUGCAUAUUCAAAUUGUUAAGACAGUAAUAUAUAUAUUUACAAUUUGAUCCACAACUUUUAAAUAUACUCCAAGCUCACAUUUAAUACCCAUAGUGAUGGUUUAAAGGAAGGACUUGAUUGAAUAAGAUACUAAUAAUUUAAAAUUUCGAUAAGAAUAUUUUGAAAUUUAAGACCAAUUUAAAAUUUACACCAUAAAUUAAGGACAUGUUAUGCAAUUAAUCUAAACAAAUUUCUUCAAACUACCUUUGCUAAUUUGCUAUAAUCUAACACAUUCUUUAAUCUCAAAGACUUGUCUUUGACAAUAAGUAAUCUCAAAGACCAGAUCUCAUCUCCCCAACACAUUAUUUAAUUCCCCCUAAGUUCCGCCAUUAAAGCUCUUCAUUAAAUUCAUUCCCUUUGCUUAUUUUCUAUUACAAUUACAGCCCAUUUUUCUAAACUCCAUCAAUAUUCAAAAAGUCAUAACUUUCUUAUAAUCCCAUUUAAAUUUCAAUCUUUUAUCUUAAAAGUUGCAUCUUUUGAUGUUUUGGGUUUAUUUUUUUUACUAAAAGCAUUGUAAUUUUGAUUGCAGGAACUUCAAUGGCUUUAAAGAAACCUGGUUUGAUUGCUUUAUUUGAUGUUGAUGGAACACUUACAGCUCCAAGAAAGGUAUAUAUAUAUAUAUGUAAAUCUCUCUUUUUUAUAUUUGGUCCUUUAAAUUUCAAUUAUAUGCUUAUUGGGUUGCUGAAUUUAAGUGAAAAUUGAUACAUUUUCAUUUAAAUGGCAUAGGUGGCUACCCCUGAAAUGCUGGAGUUCAUGAAGGAACUGAGAAAGGUAUAUGAUUUUUCUUAUGAUGACCCUUCAAUUCCUUUGGUUUUAUUUUGUUGAAUCUUUAAAAAAUAGAAAAAAAAAGAUCCAAUUUUUAUUAAAGAACUUUGUUUUAUUUUCAAUUAUAGGUUGUUACUGUUGGAGUAGUAGGUGGAUCUGAUCUUAUUAAGAUAUCUGAGCAACUUGGGAAAUCAGGUUUGCUUACGAAACCUUGUUGUUUUCAUUGUUUCUUUUUUAGUCCCUUUGAUUAUUGAACUAUUAGUUACAAUUUUUUCUGUAAAUGCAGUGAUUAAUGACUAUGAUUAUGUAUUUUCUGAAAAUGGACUUGUUGCUCAUAAAGAUGGGAAACUCAUUGGAACCCAGGUAUUACUCACAGCAUGUAUUUUCUUUUUGUCCAAACACCUUGUUUUCUUGCCAUAUGAUGUAAAUUUAAGAACUAAUGAUAAGUAUUUUUUCCCCCUUUUGGAUAAGUUGAACUUAAUUUCAUUAACUCGGUCUCGGUUUCCGUUUUCUAGAGUUUGAAGUCGUUCCUCGGAGAAGAUAAGCUGAAGGUUAGUCUUUUUCCCCUCUUAGAUAUGAUGGUUCUUCCAUUUGAUAUCUAAAAUGGAUUACGUUAAAAGCUUGGUUUAUAGUGUCGUUAGGACUCUAUUGAUUUUCAUUAUUCGCUCGUGAUGAUGUCUGAUUACCAUUAGAAAUGGUGUAUGCUAUUUGUUUCAUUGAUUGCAAAUGAUUGUGCAGGAAUUUUUAAACUUCACAUUGCAUUAUAUUGCUGACUUGGAUAUCCCAAUAAAAAGGUGAGAAAAUCGGAAGAACGGAGUUCAUUUUUUAAGUCUGCUGCAACUCUAUUUAUUCCUCUAAUCGGUCAAGUUGAAUAAGAUCACCUCUUUAUCGUUUUUCUUCGGUUUAGGGGGACAUUCAUUGAAUUCCGAAGUGGGAUGCUUAAUGUAUCUCCGAUUGGACGUAACUGUAGCCAAGAAGAAAGGGAUGAAUUUGAAAAGUACGACAAGGUAUAAAAUAUAAUAACCUUUUAGUUUUUGCUAUCUAAAAUAUACAGAGUUAGGGCGCAUCUAGCAUCAUUUUUGGCCUCCAAAAGCAAUGGUAAACGAAGAGCUUUUGCCAUCGAAAGUGUGUUUAAAACGUGCUUUUGAAACCAAAUAUAGAACAAACAACAAUGCUAAAUUAGCUUUUAGUACUUUUUAGGUGCAUAUACUUAAAUAAAUCAAACUAUUCGAGUUUCAGGUUCACAAUAUUCGCCCGAAAAUGGUGUCUGUACUUCGAGAAAAGUUUGCUCACCUUAACUUGACAUUUUCAAUUGGAGGGCAAAUAAGCUUUGAUGUAAGUAAUACAUAUAUAGUUUGUUUCAACAUUUUAAGUACCAUGAACGUCAAAAGGAUUAGUGAUUGCUUUGUUUUGAUCGUUAUAGGUUUUCCCCGAGGGCUGGGACAAAACAUAUUGCUUGAGAUAUCUUGAAGAGUUUCAAGAAAUCCACUUCUUUGGGGACAAAACUUACAAGGUUCGUUCCAUUUUUUUCACUUUGGUCUUCCACUAGUAAAAGUACCAUGGAGGCCCUUGUAUUGGAUCGCAUUUUGUCCCCUCUACUUAAGAAAUAAGUGGUCAAAGAGCAAACUGGUCAUGUUAAAAAUUUCAUCCGUUUCUACUAACAAAAACUAGUCUUGUACAUCAACAUAAGGUACAUCUGGCACAUUAUGUAUCACGAUCUAGUUAUUCUGUCAACCAUGCUAAUUUUAAACAGAACAAAUGGAUGAAAUUUUUAAGAAAAAGGACCAAUUUACUCUUUGAACUAAUGUAUAGAGACUAAUUUGCCCAUUUUUUUAGUAGAGGCAAAACGCAAUUUGAAGCAUAUCCGUUUUUACUGCCUUCCACCCUAUAUAAAUCCAUAAACUUACAGUCAUUAUCCGUUUUUAAUCGGCUUUCUUUCAGCCUUUACCUUCAUUCCAUUUACUAAUGGUCUUUUCCCUGGUCAGGGAGGUAACGAUCAUGAAAUUUAUGAAUCGGAGAGAACAGUAGGACACACAGGUCAGUUGUUAUCUCGAACUAUUUACACAGAUUCUCAAUGUUCAAUGGUCUCAAAAUGCAGUGAUUCAAUUACCCUUGGCAAUAUAACAAUAUGUUUUAUUUUGGUCAUAUGUAGUUACAAAUCCUGAUGAUACAGUGAAGCAGUGCAAAGCUCUCUUCUUAAGCAACCCUUGAACGAUACCGCUUUUCUUCUCGGUAUUACCAGGUUGUAUCGAGUGGUUUACAGGAAAGAAUAAGUGGCAAGCCGGGUGCUGGCUCAAGUAUGUAGUUUUUAUAUUAUUCAGUAAUAGUUCAAAGUGGUUAAAUUUUGGGUAUUUAGAACUUGCAGAAAAUAUGGUAUCACCAUGAUUCUCUUUUACUAUCAUUCGAGGGAAUCAUGAAUUUUGGACAUUCACUUUAUUAAGGUUGCAGCAAUUUAUAUAUGUAUUUAUAUAUACAUUGAAGCCGGCAGGAUGAACUGCUCAAUAAUAAAUAUAAUCUGUGUCUUAUAUUAUAAAGCUCCAUUUGUUCAUGGCAAUUUUUUUUUCCAUUUAACUUAAAUCGGAAGAGAAAGGAAAAAUACCCUUGAGUUUGGCUUUUAGUUUUUUUUUUUUUUUUUCACUUUGUCACUUGAAAUUGACAAUUAGAUUCAUUUUGGUCUUUGAAUUUGAGGCAUUAUUAUUUAAAAAUUUAUAUAAAUUUUCAAUUGAGAUGUGAUAAAAACUUAAAGUAUUACAUUGAGUGUCAUAAUAAUUAAACAAAUAGUUAAACAGGUUAAGCUAUUGAUUCCUAAUUCAACAUGUUUGAUUGGUUCAACCAUCAAACAUUUUAUACAGCUUAACAGUCUUUAAUAUAGACAUAAUAGUAAUUUUAGCUCCUCACGAUUAUAAAUUAUGCUAACUUAAUUAUGAUUCUAAAAAAUAUAAUUCCCUAACAUUUAUAUGGUAUAAUUUGAUAUUUUUUUACAAUUUUGGCUUUGUUUGUAAUAUUCAAGGUUAAAUUUAAAACAAUAAAAAAAUGAUAAUUAUUAUAUUAAAAUUUUAAAUUUUAAAUUUUAAUAUAUUUUCGAUCAAAUUUAAUUGAUAAAUUUAUUUUUUAAGUCACAUAAAAAAAGCGAAAUUAUAAAAAGAAGAAUAUCAAAACAUACAAGGUGUAGAUGUUAAAAAUUAUUUUUUAGAAUCAAAAUUAAAUUGAUACAAUAUAUAAAUAUUGAAGAGUAAAGUUACUAUACAAAUAUUAAAAUUAUCACAAAAUUUUCCAUUAACCUAAUAACCAAAAAGGACAAAUCAAACAAUUAAAUAAUAAUUUUAUAAAUUUUCAUAAUUGAAUGGCCAAAAAAAAAAAUACCAAUAAUUGAAUGACUACCUGUGUAUUUUACCCUAAAUAAUUUUUCAAAAAUUAUUUAAUUUUAAACUAGGACGUAAAUAUUUCAAUCGACAUAUGAAAAGAACAUGAAAAACAGUAAUCCAUGAAAAUGUUCCUUUCCUGUCUGUUGCCAUUUAAUGACAAAGUACAACAGUUGAUCCUUUUUCUCUUAGAAUAAAACAAGCAAUUAAUAAAAGUCCCAUCAAAAAUUUAUCAACCGCUUAAAAUUUUGUUAUUACUGGAAAAAAGGUCCUUUUUUUUUGUACUAUUUUCUGUACAACUUACAACAAUGGGAGCAUGUAGUUGUUCUAUACAGUUUUCCCCCCUGAAAGGGGGGGAGGGCUUAUUAUACCUGGUUAACACGAGGAACCUUUCAUAUCGCCAAUUCAGUAACGUGGUUAUCGUCCGAAGAAUCCGGCAGUUGAGUUUUAGGUUUAUUCGUGACUCGCGAAAACCCAUAACCGAGAGAACUUCCACUAGCUUGGCAUAGCUGUGGAAGUGAAAACAUGUUGGGAUUAUGAUAAAAAUAUUCCUUGAGAUGUUAGGAAAUAAACAAAAAUAAAAGGGUAAAAGUACUAUCUAAGCCCCUGUACUAAGAGUCCGAUUGCAUUUUACUCUACUAAAAUUUUAUCCAUUUGUAUUGUUAAAAACCAACAUGGCUGCCGGAAUAACCAAACAAUGACAUGAGACGUGCAACGCAUACCUCAUACUAAUGUAAAGAGACAAGUUUUUAACAGUAAAAAUGAAUAAAAUUUUGAACAGAAAACCAAUUUGCUCUUUGAUCUACCGUAUAAAGAUUAAUUUGUCUAUUUUUUUUUUGAGAGAGGGAGAAAUGCAAUCCGGCUCCUAGUCUAAUGGCCUCUAUGAUACUUUUACCAAAUAAAGGAAAAAGUAGGGGUGUAGGGAGUACCUCUGUUAGUUCCGCAAGAUGGCGAGACCUAAAUUCGUUGAUUGUUGCUGCAAUCUCAGAUGUUGGGAGUUUAGCCUGCAGAAAGACAGGGGAAAAGAAACGAUAUGGAUUGUUUAAGAUAUCAAUAUAAGUACAAAAAAUAGAAUAGAGGUGGAAGCAUCGGAUUAACAGAUGAAUAUAAGACAUCUGCACGGUUUAACGCAGGAUUAAUCAUAUUAAUAAGUGACCGAUGCAAGUGUUGCACAUCCAAAUCAUGACCUCGAGCUCAGAGACAAUGUUAAAACCACUAUGGCCGAGGAAAGCAUAACGGAAACAAGGUGCCCGGGAUUUGAAAAUGUAAUCCAUCAUACCUGAGCUAGGACAGCAGCAGCCAACUGCAGACUUGGUUCCAAGGUUUCUGGCACAACCUAUACUCAACAAGGCAGAAGAGAAUAAGGAAAAACCAGAAGAAGAAAAACCACAGGCGGUAAAUUUAAUAGAAGGUGAAAGAAUAUUACAGCCGUAGCCCCAGCUUUUUCCAAAUUAAGGCCGUGAUCAACAUCAUGAGCGCGGACAAAAGUUUUCACAUUAGGGAAAUACUUGCUCAGAGCCCAAACAGUUCUAUAAUUGGCACCAGGUGUAUCCAAGGUUAUUGCCGCAGCACAAGCUCUUUCAGCACCAACUUUGUGAAGGACCUAAUCACCAGUGUAAAAGAAGUCAAAUGGUGAUCUCCAAGUCGGCUUAUUUUGAACGAAUUUUGCUUACCUCUCGACUACCAGCAUCUCCAAAAUAAACAGGAAUGUCCAGGGAACGCCCCAUUGCCACCCUAUCACUGAAAGGAGCAGAAACUUUUAGUACUUGCCAUGAUUAAUUGAUGAAUUUUAGAUAUCUGCUAUUUUGUGAUGUGUACCACUGGUAUAGGCUAUGAAAGUACAACUACUUGAUGGCCAUUUCCAAAAUGAGUCAGCCUAUUUCCAUGAAUGUCUUAAGCUUCUUCAACAAAAAUGUCAAUCACAUAGUAGGCAAAAGCGACUGUUUUACAUUAAUCGUGAACAUUUAUAUGCAUCAAUCUCUAGCUCAUAAUCAUGCGCUAUAUCAAUACAUUGGUAAUAUAGAAAAUCAAAGACAAACUCAUGAGUCACGGUAUGGGCAGGUAUCUUGGAGGAAUUAAAUUGGCAUACACAAAGGAUCUAUACCCUAGAUUAAGAUGGAGUCAGAUGUUUGCAAAAUCAUAAGCAUUAUGAUCGAUGAUUAUUUGACUUCUCUUUAAAAAGAAUUAUGUUACCUCCGCACAUCAAGGGCAACGAAUGGAAUUAGGCGCUCCGAAAGUAGCUGAGCUAUGAUCUGAAAACAUGCAAAGAAAAAGAGAAAACACGACAUUGUUACGGACAUGUGUUUAUGGAUUAUUAACUAAUUUGAGAAGAGGUUCAUCAGAUUAACACUUUCAGACUAAUUUUUCAAAUUCAAGUGUGCAAAUAUAUAAAUACCUGCCCAACACGCCCAAAUCCACAAAUGAUAAUAUGAUCUUGCAAAUCAUCAGUCUGGAAAUAAAACCAAGUUAAAGAGACAGAUUAAUAACUAUUAGAGAUCCCAUUACAUCAAAAUCAGAUGCUUAAUAUAUUGAAAAGAGAUUUACUGCAUAAAGAUACUUUAUUAUGUUACCUCACUCUCGACAGGCAAUAAGCUUCGAACAUCGUGUAGCUCAAAACGAGAGGCAAUUAACUGGCCUCCAGCAGCAAGCCAUGGUGUGAGGGCCAUUGAAAUCCCCACAACAAGGAACAACAAUGAGGAUAGCUGAGAAGACAUUAUUCCCUGCCAAAAUCCCCCCAUUAAUACUUGCAUAAGUGAUAAAACACUGCAUAUUAGCACUUGGCUUUCAUUAUUCAAAGAACAACGAUUCUUGUUGAUUUAGUAAAAAAACGUGCCCAUUUACCUAAGAUAUAUGAUACAGUUAACGAAUAUUCCAAAUUAUAAUGGAACAAAUAUGUGAACAAUAUAUCUUUCUCAAAUGACAAACCACCCUUACACUGACAAAACUCAAAAGUAAAAAUCAAUAACCCAACAGGUUAACUAAAAAUUUACCAAAUACAAGAUAAACUAUUAGAUGCGGAUGAGAUAAUCCCAUGACCAAAUGAUGUUAGUUAAUAGUGAAAGAAACCUGAUUAACAGCUUCACCAAAAGCCACAAAUGCAAAUUCUCCACCUGGAGCUAGAAGAAGACCAACCCUUAUGGCGGAUAUGAUCGAAAUACCAAAAAGUUUACCAACAACUGCCACCAAUAUGGUCUUGCCACCAAGUAAGAGUGCCAAUGUCCCCGCAAUGACAGGAAAAUUUGACACAAGAAGCUUUGGGUCAAUUGACAUUCCAACCUGAAAAGUCAAAAUGUCAACAGUUGCAUAUGCUCGAUCAUCAAUGUAUGGCAGUAACAAUAACCUAAACCAAAAACAAGCCAAAUUAAGCAAGUGUUAUCAUUCUCAAAACUCAGUAACGUAGUAAAUGAUAUGAAGACUUUAUCCAACCACCUCUCCCAGUUUUCUCCUACUUCCACCUAUGAGAUAAAAUCAUCCUCUAUGUAUAAAGAAUCUUGGUAAUAUGAUUGUUGUAUAAUAUUCACACUAAGGACACGUUUGGACAGCACAAAGUAAAUGAAUGAAAGUGUAAUUAUUAGGGUAGUAAUUAUACCCUUGUAAUUACAACAAAUUGUAAUUCCCUAAAUGUAGCUGACAUAAGAUAAUUAACAUCAACCUUAUAAUAUUUGGGUUUAUAGUUCAAAUAGUUUGUAGCUUUAAUUAUAUAAACUUAAUUUGACUGACAAACAGUAAUUAGCAUCAAUCUUAUAAUAUGGUGCAAAGAAAACCAUUUCUAUUUGCUUAAUUAGUAUCAAGCUUAUAAUAUUUGGGUUCAUAGUUCAAAUAAUUUGUAGUUUUAACUAUAAAUUUAAUUUAGAUAAUGACUUAUGCUAGAUUAUAUCUCUUUCUAUAAUAUGUAAAUUAAGUAAAAAGUAAUAUAAAAUUUAUAAUAUAUAAACUUUAUAAUAAUAAAAAAAAAGAUUUUAUAAAUUGUCCAAACCUGAUAAAAAAAACUAUAGUAUUUUUUAUAAUUAAGCAAUAAUAAUAAAAAUAAAAAUAACUAUAAUAUUCUUUUAUGAUUAUAAUAUACAGUAUGUACACGUAAAUAAGUUAUGUCCAUACUUCUUAGUCAUAACUUUUUAUAAAUAAAUACAUUAUGCAAUUUUAUAACAUGUACAUUAUUUUUUAUAAUAUAUUAUAAAUAAAUACAUUAUCUUUUACCAUAAUUUUAGAUUUUUUUUAGGAUUUAAAUAAUAUAUUUUUAUUAUAACUUUAUAAAAUACAAAAAUUAUUUUUAUAAUAAUUUUUAGAAAUUAAAAUAUAAGAACCGUUAUACCAUAAACAUCCAAAACACUUAUAAGUGUUUAUGCUUAUAAUAUAAUUUUCAUAACUUUGUAUAAAAAUAAUUUUUUAAAAUUGGAUUUGGGUAUAAUUACCUGUGUAAUUACCCCAAUUCUCACCCUCCCCUCUAAGAAUUGGAAAGUAAAAUUGGGGUGCUCCAAUUACACCCAAUUCAAUGGGACCCACCAAUUAUAAUGGUUACACAAACAUGCCACCCUUGUGUACUUACAAGCAAUUACGCACAAACCCAAUUACUAGAUGGCUUUCCAAACACUACCUAAAUGGCCUUCAUAAGAAAUGAGCACCAGGUACAACUACAACUGAAGCAAGAAAGUAAUUCAAUGAACAGACAAUCUAGUCAUCCAAAAUGGAGAGGCCACCAAAUAAAAUACCCACCGUCAUGAAGAAGAGACCCAAUAAGAGGCCACGAUAUGGAGCAAUAUCUGAUUCAACCUGCAAAGAGAAUUCAGUCUCUGCAAGAAGCAAACCAGCUAGAAAUGCUCCCAAUGCCAUGGAAAGUCCAGCCUGUUCAACCAGAAGAGUAAAAACAAAAUGAAGGAUCUAAGGUAUUAUUACUACAACAGAAGAAAAAGAAAAAUUGACAAGAAUGUAUAGUUUUCGUACCCUAGCAGUAAGGAGACUUGUCCCUAGAAUAACAAGGAGGGUAUUGGCUGAGAAUAUUUCUGCAUUUUGAUUUUCUGCUAUUUGCUUAUAAAUUGGUCGAAGCAACUGCAAGAAAGGAAAAAAGUAUACAAAAAUCAGCAGCUGCUGCGUUUCUGAAGCAUUAUCCAUUUUCAGAGUCAAGCACAGGUAUCAACAACCUUAGUAGAUUCUGAAGAUUGUGGGUAAAUUGCAUCUAUGAGUUAAAUACCUUUCUUUUUUGUUAUGAUUUAUGAGUCAAUACUAUCAGACUAUUAGAUGCAUUUCUUAUAUGUAUAACAAAGCUCUCACAAACUAUCAGUUAGCUCCACUAGAAUGAUACCACGUACAUCCAACCAGGUUAUAUUUGAACGCUCUUAAUAGACAAUUUGCAAUUUUUUUAAUCAGCAAAAUAUUACAGGAUAAGUUAAGAUAAAGUAAAACAAUAAAAAUUUAAUGUCCAAACCUGAGGCCAUAAUUUAUGAAUGUCUUAGAUAUAAAACUUACCAACCGUCCCCCAGCAAUAAUUGCAGCAAUGGCAACUGCUGCCUUAACAGCAGCCAGUCCAAGAGCUUCAGCAAUGGCUCUAAAACCAACCUGAAAACCAAAAAAAUUACAUAACUCAAAAGUGCAAAUAUAAAAUGUAGAAGUAUCAGCAGCGGUAACAAGAAUGUGGCAGAUAAACCAGACAAGGGGCAAAUUUCACUUCUUCUUAACUUGCCUUAGCCAUCAAAGUUCUUUCAUGUUUUUCCCUAAAUAUUUCCACUUGCAAAUGUUUCCAAAAUACUUCCUUAGAAGUUCAUUAGAACCAUUUAAGGAGGCAACCAUCAAAUAACAAAAGAAAAGAUUUUGGGGAAAGCACAUGCUCCCUCAAAGCAAACUAGUGGAGUAUGCUGCAAAGAAAUAAACAUAAACAGCUAUUAAGAAACCCAAGGAGAUGAAGGAGCAGACAGCUUUCUACUAAUAGAAGCUUAGGAAAAUCACUCAUCAAAACCCGAGCCCCAAGAGAGCUUUAUGGUUCAUUCAUCAAAAUUUGAGCCCCAAAUGAACUUCAUGAUUAAUGCAAGUAUCAGAAUAAAGAACAUAGAUGUAUGUGAAUGACAUACUAUCAAAGCAAAGCCAAUUAGAAUAUUCAAGGUCAAAUGAGGAAUAAAAAGGAAAAGCAAAAAAUGGAUAUAUUAGAAUUUAGAAGAUCUUACCCCUCCUUUUGAUGAAUUUGGUGAGAUAAGAGGUAUGAGUAUAAGCAAAACAACAACAGCCAAGUCCUGGAAAGAAGAGAUAUUAAUCAAUAAAAAUUCACAACCAAAACCAUCCAAAUGAACUAAAUGUCAAAGUGAACUUCGAAAGACUAAUGAGGGAGGAUUCCAAACAUAUCUAGCAGGUAUUAUUAUGUGUCCUAAUUGCCAAUUUAGUCGGAUCAUUCAUAAAGCAUUUUUAGUACUAUGGGAGCAAGAUGGCUUAAUUGCAUAGGCGAUUACCAUGUUGCAUUGAGUAUAUAACUAAUUUCAUCUUUGCUUACUUCAACAGUAAAUAUGUCUGUUUAAAACAUGAAGAUUGGGAAAGAAGAUUUAAAAAUAAGAAGAAAAAGAAAGGGACAAAAAGUAGAAGCAGGCAUACACGUAUCAGUUAUCAAGACAUUCAUUUGUAUAAUAACUGAAUAAAGAACUAUUAUCACUGACUGCAAAAUUCAAUUCAUAAAAAAUGCCUCCUGAAGUCAAUCCCUUUUCUCAAGAUCCUAGGACAACCUGAAAAAGUAGGACUGAAAAUGUAGCACGCCCAUGGCGUGAAGUACUCUCACCUCGCUCCUGUAAUACCUGCAAAUGAAGACAACAACAAUUAUAAGACCAUUAAUGGAGCCAUGAGGUCUCUUUAUCUUCUGUGGUAGGUAUGUUAUUGUAAAGGAACAAAAAAUAUGAAAAGUAAAACAAAUGACAAGAGUUUGAUACAAUCAGGUCACAUUCAUGCUAUUACUAAACCUAUUAGGUAGAUUUGUGAAGACAAUCGCAAGAAACCAAGUUAUCUUCUAAUUUCUAAAGAUUUUAAGAGGCCGCAGAGGAAUAUAAGAGGAAAAUAGAUGUUUAUAGAUAUUCAACAAAAAUAAAAUUUUAAUCUUUUGCCCUAGCAAGCUUGCUAAAAUUUGUGUCCUUCAGGAUGUGCAAGAGUAAUAAUAAUACAAUGUCAAAAUUAAUAACAUCUGAAGCAGAAUGUGUCUAUGUUAAUUACCUGCAAGACAACAGCAGUUGAAGAUAAUGCCAGGCCAUUCCCAAUCACAAUUGCAGCUGGACCAGGCUGCCCAGCAACAAAAUGAGCAACCAAGCCAACUACAACUGCAGUCACAAGGACCUGCAUCACAUAAAAGUAUAAGUUAAAAGAACUUUCAAAACAUAUGUGACAGUAACAGAAAAUUUAUUUUCUCAAUCACCUGCGCAGAGCCUAAUCCAAAAACAUAUUUCUUCAUGGAACUUAACCUUUCGACGGAUAACUGCAAAAGGCAAAAUAUGGGCACAUGUUUAAUACCAUCUUAUAAUGAUGGAAUUCAAUGUAAAGCUGCAAUUAUGGAUGUAUAAAAUAAACUCCACCUCAAGGCCAAUAUUGAAUAGCAAGAAAACAACUCCAAAUUCAGCUAUUGCUUUGGUCCCAUGCACAUGACGGAUUAUGGAAAGACCAUAAGGUCCAAUCAAGAUGCCAGCAGCCAAAUAUCCAAGAACGGGACUGCCUAAAAAUAGGAGCAGAUAGAAGAAAAACAUCAGUAAAGGAAAAAUAGAACAAAUAAUGGUAAGGAGAAGGAAAGAGAAAAAACAUUGUUUUCUCCAGACUGUGAGGAAACAUCAUAAAAAGCAAAUAGAGAAUUCAAACAUGAGCACCAAAAGUCUUUGCAAAAGUUCAUAUUGACAAAAGAUCAUGCGUUUUUUAAGAACGCCGACUCGAUGCUACAUACUAAAAUGAGCUAAAGGAUAGAGAGUUUAGUCACCUCCAGGAAUUUUCUGAAAUAUAGGCACAAAUAUUACACUUGCAAGAAGUAACCACAGCACAUCAAAGAGAGAAGCCUCCUCCUCAUUCAUCUGAGAAAUUCAAAGAUUGAAAUAAGCUUCUGACAAGCUGCUAUAUUCAGUAUGAUUACAAUCAUAAGAAACAAAUGGAGAAACUAAUAAAUGGUGUAGGAUCACACACCUCUUGAUGUGGAAGAAAAGCAAUUAGUUCUUUUAGUUUUUUAGGAAUUUUCUUUAUUUGUUGCAUCAGAGGUUUUGCAUUUAAGGAAAUGUCGUCUAUACUAGUAGUUAUGACAUCUGGCUGCUGCAUCAACAGAGCUCUCCUCUCUGCCUGAUUAGCAUAGAAGGCAACCCUGUGAUCAAAGGCAGGCAAUCAUUUUUGCAGGCAUCGAAUCUUAUAAAAAAGUAACAAACUGAUAAAACACAAACUCAAUAAAAUGGUUCCUUCCAGAGGAGUUGAUCCAUUGUUUUUAUUAUAGUCAAGCAGUGAAUUCUCUAGAUCUAAACGUUUGAUCUAAGAAGAAAUAGACAUAGCAUUCCAAAAGAAAAACAUCUUGUUUUAACAGAACAUGCCAUUUUGGUCAUGAAGGAGAAAUUAACGCUCACCAAAGACAUAUACAGGAAUUUGAGAGGAGUUAUAACUAAUUUAGUUAAUAUAAUACGGUAGUAAUAUUCAAAAACAUACCCAGCUCCCAAGAGCAGUACUCCUACUACCAGUUUAGGAAUUUGUUUCCUUGCAGACUCCAAAAGACUCUGGGCGACUGACAAUGGUGUGAACUCUGUCCCAUCAUCGGUGAAGGAAAAAAAUGAUGCAGGGAAGAAACGUGAAGAUUUCUUCAACAACGACUUUGAGGAAUUAGGGGGUGAAGUCUCCCUUGUCAGCUCCUUCUGAGAUUCCGACUUCUUCGAUUGAACACUUUUUGACUUUUCUGCUUCAAUUUCAGCUUCUUUUGGAGAAUCUAAACCCAGGAUUCCGUUCUCAUGAUCACUUAGAUCAUCAAAUUGUUUGAUAUCUUCAGAACUUUUUCUAGCUUUACCAGAUAUGAUGUCUGCUGUAGGCUCAGCAACCACCAUGCCACCAUUAAUCAAAGCAUCCCUUUCUCUUUCAACAAAAACAUCAUUAGGACCCCCGGGACUGAUCUCCUCCUCAAUAACAGUCUCUUCAGCCGAAACCUGCUGCUCAACAGUCUCAACAAUCAUAUUAGAAAGAGACUUUUCAGCUUUUUGCAGAGCUAUCUCUGCAUCAUUCACAUGCUGUGUAGCUUCCAAUUCAAAAGCAACAGCUUGCUCAGCUAAAAGCAUGAUGUUUGCAACUUCUUCCUCAGCUUUCAAUGCAUCCAUCUGUGCUUUCUCUGCAACCUCAUUCAAUCUAUCUGCUUCUUUCUGCAACUCCCCCUUUUUACUCUGCAGGUGCCUUAACUCCGCUUGACAAUUUUCUAACUUCUCCUUACAUUCUCUAAUCUCAUUUUGUGCAGUCAAUGCUGCUCCAUUAUCUUCCCUAAUAUCAAUUUCCACAUCACUCUCUCCAGAAUUUUCUGGGGAAUCGUUUCCCUUUUUCAGAUAUUCAGAUGAGUCUGCUGUCACCUGAAGCCUUGCCUCAGCUAAAGACAAUGCCAUCAUUGCCUUUUGAACAGCCUCUUUAGCAACGCACUCACCAUUCACAAUAUCUUGAAUCAUUUUAAGUGUGCUAUUAACAU